CGAGGCCCUUCGGGGUUUAGUGGCGCACGGGUGCGUAACGCGUGGGAAUCUGCCCUUUGGUUCGGAAUAACAGCUGGAAACGGCUGCUAAUACCGGAUGAUGACGAAAGUCCAAAGAUUUAUCGCCAGAGGAUGAGCCCGCGUUGGAUUAGGUAGUUGGUGGGGUAAAGGCCUACCAAGCCGACGAUCCAUAGCUGGUCUGAGAGGAUGAUCAGCCACACUGGGACUGAGACACGGCCCAGACUCCUACGGGAGGCAGCAGUGGGGAAUAUUGGACAAUGGGCGAAAGCCUGAUCCAGCAAUGCCGCGUGAGUGAUGAAGGCCCUAGGGUUGUAAAGCUCUUUUACCCGGGAAGAUAAUGACUGUACCGGGAGAAUAAGCCCCGGCUAACUCCGUGCCAGCAGCCGCGGUAAUACGGAGGGGGCUAGCGUUGUUCGGAAUUACUGGGCGUAAAGCGCACGUAGGCGGCUUUGUAAGUCAGAGGUGAAAGCCUGGAGCUCAACUCCAGAACUGCCUUUGAGACUGCAUCGCUUGAAUCCAGGAGAGGUCAGUGGAAUUCCGAGUGUAGAGGUGAAAUUCGUAGAUAUUCGGAAGAAC
rnacentral:rRNA from 1 species